UACGUAGGUGGCAAGCGUUAUCCGGAAUUAUUGGGCGUAAAGGGCGCGUAGGUGGUUUCGUAAGUCUGAUGUGAAAGCCCACGGCUCAACCGUGGAGGGUCAUUGGAAACUGGGGAACUGGAGUGCAGAAGAGGAAAGUGGAAUUCCAAGUGUAGCGGUGAAAUGCGUAGAGAUUUGGAGGAACACCAGUGGCGAAGGCGACUUUCUGGUCUGUAACUGACACUGAGGCGCGAAAGCGUGGGGAGCAAACAGG
rnacentral:misc_RNA from 1 species